rnacentral:rRNA from 1 species
CCUACGGGAGGCAGCAGUGAGGAAUAUUGGUCAAUGGGCGGGAGCCUGAACCAGCCAAGCCGCGUGAGGGAAAAAGGUACAGCGUAUCGUAAACCUCUUUUGUCAGGGAACAAAGGCGGGGACUAGUCCCCGGAUGAGGGUACCUGAAGAAAAAGCAUCGGCUAACUCCGUGCCAGCAGCCGCGGUAAUACGGAGGAUGCGAGCGUUAUCCGGAUUUAUUGGGUUUAAAGGGUGCGCAGGCGGCCUGUUAAGUCAGCGGUAAAAGCCCGGGGCUCAACCCCGGCGAGCCAUUGAAACUGGCGGGCUUGAGUUGGAGAGAAGUACGCGGAAUGCGCGGUGUAGCGGUGAAAUGCUUAGAUAUCGCGCAGAACCCCGAUUGCGAAGGCAGCGUACCGGCUCCACACUGACGCUGAGGCACGAAAGCGUGGGUAUCGAACAGGAUUAGAUACCCCUGUAGUC